rnacentral:sRNA from 1 species
GGGUGGGGAGCCGGGACUGCGGUGGAGCGGUGGAGGGCGUCUCUGGGCUUCGGCGUCUGGCAAGGGGUUCAGCUGUCUGCUCCCUGGCAGCCGGCCUUCGGGUCGGCCGUCUCCGUCGGUGACUGCAGCUUGAGUUUUGCCGGUGUGGCCACGAGUCGGGUUGCACUGCUGUGAUCCGUCAUCAUCUCCUAAAGAUGCAUCCUGACUUAUCUCCACACUUGCACACUGAAGAAUGCAACGUCUUGAUUAACUUGCUUAAGGAAUGUCACAAAAAUCACAACAUUCUGAAAUUUUUUGGUUAUUGUAAUGAUUUCGAUCGGGAGUUGAGAAAAUGCCUGAAGAAUGAGGGUCUCGCUCUGUCACCUAAGCUGGAGUGCAGUAGGGUGAUCGUAACUCACGGAAGCCUCAAACUCAAGUGAUCCUCCCACCUCAGCCUCC